AUAAAGCAUAGCAGUGUGAACAGACAACACAGAGUUACACAUGGAGUAAACAAUUAACUUCUUCGCUUUGACUACAGACAGAGAGAAAGGCAUUUGGACAUUACAGGUUGUCUGCAAUAUUGCACCCCGACCACUUAGGUGCAAAUAGUGCCGAUCGCCUUCAAUGACAACGGAAUAAUGUCUAACUUCAGAAAUAUUCUCUUGCUCUCUCUGCUGGCCAUGGCAUAUGCACUUAUCUGCAGUGGACAGCACUGUCCACUCUGUCCGCAAGGGACGUUUAAUGUAACUUUUCAUAGUAAAACAAAUUGUAUGGGGGGUUGAGAUAUAUCGCUGCUAAGCUUUAUUGGCCUACUAAUGAUGGUUUUAUGUUUCAAUCAUCAGCUAACUAUGUUCUUCACAGUCCCUCUCAGUGUUUAUGGUUACUGAUGAUAUCAAAUGUCCUCUCAUUUAGGGCGAUUUGCCAUCGGAAACUGCAGCCAGCUGGAUGUGGGGUGGACAGGACGUACCUGUAUUCUAUGCAGUGACUGUUCAGGGGAUGGCAAGAUGACUGUUAUUUCCUGCUCAACUUUCUCAGACACAGUGUGUGGCUACAAGGAUGGCUACAACAUUACCUCAAUGGGUGAUUUCCAGAAAUAAGUGUUUACAGUUGAUUCAGUCAAUAUCGCAUUGGGUAAUUAUGCAAUUGUAUUUGAAAAUAAUAUAUUUUUAAAUGUAUUUCCUGUCUAAAGCCACGAGGACAUGGAAAUGUAAUCUACAGUUUAAUAUUGUACAAGACUUUACAGUUCUAUUUUGUUUUCAGUUGUCUGAAGUUGCCAUGGUUACUGAGUAAACGAGACCGGAUGUCAACGUGUGUAAUCUGAGACUGUACAUGCUAUGACUAGAAAACAGCAUGUAAAGUACACAUUCCAUUCUUGUCUCGACUCGUUCUGUAUUUUGCAGAAUUUUGGUUGGGUGCCCACGAAUUGCAUUCGUUGCCCACAUGUACAACUGAGAGACUUCAAGCGAUGUCUGAAAUCUGACCCAUUAUAGUGUUGAUCAAAACAUGACCAAUAUACGUCUCUUUUUUUUUCUCAGAUUCAACUCAUUCUCCAGUGGAGUCUGUGGAGUCCAUGAUAUUAAUAGCAAUGAGUACACCAACAGCUGCCACUGAGUGUGUGUGAUGUCACAUGAAUGAGGCUGGAAGUUGGAGCCAGGAUUCCGAGCAGCUUUGGAAAAAACAGAGGGAAUGGUGCCCUCAUAGGGAAAUUAGUGUUGAGCGUAAUACAAAAGCAGGCUCUCUAAGGAUCUCUAACCCAACAUUACAGUAGUGAGCUGAAGCUGUCAGAAAUGUGAAUUAAGUUUUAAGUAUUAGAAUGUAAAUACUUACAUUCAACAGUAUUGAUGGUAUUAAAUUAAAACUAGGUAGGUGAGCGUCCUAGGUUACAUAAUUUAAAAAUAUAUAUAUAUAUAUAUAUUGUAUACUUGUAUGACAAUAGCUUAAGCAGGUAUUUGUCUAUGACAUUUUGUAUUGCAACUGUUAUAUUGUUCCAAUUAUAGGCCUAUUUGAAAAAUAGUCUUUGUUAUACUAUAUUGACCUAAUAGGGAUAGCCUUCUAAGACAGAAGCUUAAGCAUCAAUUUUUACUGAAACUGUGUAUUUGUCUAUAUGACACUUUGUAUAGCAAGAGUUCAAAUGAUAAACCUAUAGGAAUUGUAGUCAUUGUUUUACUAUAGCCUACUGCAUCAUCAAACAUAGG